rnacentral:lncRNA from 1 species
GGGGGUCCCCGGCUGGGAUAGUCUUCGAUUGGUUCUGCCGUGGUAGGGUGUGCGUGAGGUGGAAGAAGGGCUGUUCCUCCACGGCACGGUGGAGGAGUUCUGAAGUCCUAAAGUUGGGGCAGGACCUGCAGCAUGGUCGGAGAAGGGGCAAGAGGCCCGGCGGGAAGAAGCAGCAAGAGUAAGACAAGUAGGUCAGGGCCUGCUUAGUACUGAGGGCCAGACGGCCAGAACGAGCGUCGGGAGACAGGAGGAGUGUCCGGGGUUUUCGCCCUCCUUUUUUCUCUUACCAAACCCAAAUGGUCCUGCUCCCCAGGUAGGCUGAGGAUACAGCAGAGAAAAUGUGUUUAGCCCCUUAAAGAGAUAGGGGGCUGUGGGUUUGCUAUUUUUAAGAAAGCAAACGGCUUUGGAGUCUAAAAGGCUAAGCUUCCUGCCCUCCCACUGAGGGUCUACCUGAGGAGGUCUAGACUUGCCUGCAAAGAAGGUAGACUUGAGGGUAAUAGUGGAAAGACAAGUAGCCCCUAUUCAUCGGCCUUCCUCACCCCCUUCUCUUGACUCCAGCUGUUGGCUUCUGUGUGACUAGGGAGAUCAGAGACCACUCACAGAGGCCUGAUCAAGAGAGAAGCUAACACAAAGGAGACCAAAGAUGAGAACCCUGAACUCUUAGCCCCUUUUUUUCCUUCAGUGGGUUCGUUGUCACUUUCAACCAAAAGAUUCCUGACUAAAGCAGACUUAGCAUACAGCAAGGCUCUGUCCUGUUUUGUCCCUGCUUACUUCAACCUCAUCUGGGUCACUCCACCCCCAGCUCCACAUUCCAACUAUUGGCAAGGUCUUCAGGAUCCUUGAACAUCUUAUCCGUCCCAUCAUCCCCCACACUUCAGGGACUUAAAUGCAUGGUUCUCUUGGGCUCUUUUAUAACCCAUGUUCCCCUCAUCACCUUCUACUUAACUUUGAGCAUUUGGCAGGAAUGUCAAUUCCUUAAGGAAGCUGCGCCUGACCAAGAACUAGAUCAGAUACUUUGUUAUAUGUUUCCAGAGCAUGUCCAAUGAAUAAAUGAAUCCACCUGAGGCAGUGGCUGCCUCUCUAGAUUAUGAAUCAACACAGUGCCUGGCAUAUUAUUAUAAGGGCUCAACAGGUAAGGAAAAGGGCUAGUACUGGACUGACACUUUUUAAUGUGUAGGGAAAAUUUCUCUCUAAAAGCUCAGCUAGGGACCAGGAGAGGUGACUUAAGCCCGUAAUCUCAGCACUUUCAAAGGCUGAGGCAGAAGGAUCACUUGAGCCCAGGCGUUUGAAACCAGCCUGGGCAACAUAAUGAGAUCACGUGUGUACAAAAAGUUUAAAAAUUAGUCGGGCAUGAUGGUGUGUGCCUAUAGUCCCAGCUACUCGAGAGGCUGAGGUGGGAGGAUCACUUAAGCCAGGGAGGUCGGGGCUGCAGUUUGGGGCAUGAUGGCGCAACUGCACUCCAGCCUGGGCAAUGAAGCAAGACCCCAUUUCAAAAACUAAACAAAUAAAUAAAUAAAAGCCCA